AUUGCAAAUAAUAUAUAAUAUUUCCAACACGGGGCUCAAGCUGGAGCAUAUAAAUCAAAUGCUCCUAGCUUGCUACAAAUGAAAUCAAUCCUAGGUCCACGAAGAGAUUUAGUGAGGAUAUCGGCUAGUUGAUCAUUUGACCCAACAAAUGUGGUGACAAUGUCUCCG